GGUUGUAUAGUGUAAUGGUUAGCACAUCAGAUUCUGAUUCUGGUAAUCUCGGUUCGAUUCCGGGUACGACCU
rfam:Pyronema omphalodes CBS 100304, CBS100304, WGS project CATG01000000 data, contig: Pcon_v1_contig1035